ensembl:lncRNA
UACAGUGCCUCCACAAAAAGUGAUGUUGGUGAUCAGAACUCCAGCCACACCGAGAUUAUUUGGUCACGGGAAAGCAGUUCCUAUUUUCCUCUGCUGGUACCCCAGGAGUAAAGUGAAGUGAAGUCGCUCAGUCGUGUCUGACUCUUUGCGACCCCAUGGACUGUAGCCUACCAGACUCCUCCAUCCUUGGGAUUUUCCAGGCAAGAGUACUGGAGUGGGUUGCCAUUUCCUUCUCCAGGGGAUAUUCCCA